rnacentral:rRNA from 1 species
UGUUAGCGAUAUACCGUUAGCGUCAAGCCAUGGAAGCUGGAAGUGCCUGAAGUGCGUAACCGCAAGGAGCGUCCUAGGUAAAGUCGGUAACUGGGGCU